rnacentral:tRNA from 2 species
GGCGGCGUAGCCAAGCGUUUAAGGCAAUAGUCCGCAAGACUAUCAUUCCCUGUGUUCAAAUCCAGGCGCCGCCUCCA